rnacentral:rRNA from 1 species
GACGAACGCUGGCGGCGUGCUUAACACAUGCAAGUCGAACGGGCCUUGUCCCCUUUUUUUUUGGGGGUGGGGUUAGUGGCGAACGGGUGAGUAACACGUGAGUAACCUGCCCCUCACUUCUGGAUAACCGCUUGAAAGGGUGGCUAAUACGGGGUGUUCUGGCCUGCUCGCAUGGGUGGGGUUGGAAAGAUUCGACCGGUUUUGGUUGUUUUGGUGGGGGAUGGGCUCGCGGCCUAUCAGCUUGUUGGGGGGGUGAUGGCCUGCCAAGGCUUUGACGGGUAGCCGGCGUGAGAGGGUGGGCGGUCACACUGGGACUGAGACACGGCCCAGACUCCUAGGGGAGGCAGCAGUGGGGAAUAUUGCACAAUGGGCGCAAGCCUGAUGCAGCGACGCCGCGUGAGGGAUGGAGGCCUUCGGGUUGUGAACCUCUUUCGCCAGUGAAGAAGGUCCUGCUCUUUGCGGUGGGGUUGACGGUAGCUGGGUUAAUGAAGCGCCGGCUAACUACGUG